AGGAUGAACGCUGGCGGCGUGCCUAAGACAUGCAAGUCGAGUGGGUUUAGACCCACGGCGAACGGGUGAGUAAUACCUAGGAACGUAUCUUUAGUUGAGGAUAUCCUCCCGAAAGGGAGAGCAAUACUCAAUGUGAUCGCAAGAUUAAAGUCGCAAGACGCUAAAGAAGCGGCCUGGGCACCAUCAGCUAGUUGGUAAGGUAAAAGCUUACCAAGGCUAUGACGGUUAGGGGUCCCGAGAGGGAUAACCCCCACACUGGAACUGCGACACGGUCCAGACUCCUACGGGAGGCAGCAGUUUGGAAUUUUGGACAAUGGGCAAAGCCUGAUCCAGCGACGCCGCGUGGACGAUGAAGGCCUUCGGGUUGUAAAGUCCUUUUGCUCGGGAACAAUUUUUGAGCGUACCGAGAGAAUAAGAGGUUGCUAACUCUGUGCCAGCAGCCGC
rnacentral:rRNA from 1 species